rnacentral:rRNA from 1 species
UCCGCCCGGGUACUACGAGCAUCAGCUUAAAACCCAAAGGACUUGGCGGUGCUUUAGAUCCACCUAGAGGAGCCUGUUCUAGAACCGAUAAUCCCCGUUCAACCUCACCUUUCCUUGCCUAAUCCGCCUAUAUACCGCCGUCGUCAGCUUACUCUGUGAAGAUCCCGUAGUAAGCAUAAUCGGCACAGCCUAAAACGUCAGGUCGAGGUGUAGCGAAUGGAAAGGGAAGAAAUGGGCUACAUUCAAUAACUUAUAAUGAAUACGAAUGGCACCCUGAAAAAAGUGCCUGAAGGAGGAUUUAGUAGUAAGCAGAGAGUAGAGUGCUCUGCUGAAAUUGGCCCUGAAGCGCGUACACACCGCCCGUCACUCUCCCCGAGCUAACACAGACAUUUCUUAAAAAGUAAAAACUGCAAAGGGGAGGCAAGUCGUAACAUGGUAAGUGUACCGGAAGGUGCGCUUGGAAAAACUCAGAGCAUAGCUAAAUAACGCAAAGCACCUCCCUUACACUGAGAAGACAUCCGUGCAACCCGGAUUGCUCUGACGCCCAAUAGCUAGCCCAACCCCCAAAAAUAAAUUAACCAUCAUUUAUAACCCCACAGACACUAAAGAAAACAAAACAAACCAUUUUUCCCUCUAAGUAUGGGAGACAGAAAAGAGCUUCGGCGCGAUAAAGAAAGUACCGCAAGGGAAAGCUGAAAGAGAAAUG